ensembl:snRNA U1 U1 spliceosomal RNA
AUCCUUACCUGGCAGGGGAGACACCACAAUCACGGAGGUGGUUUUCCCGGGGAGGCUCACCAGUUGCACUCCGCAUGUGCUGACCCUGCGAUUUCCCCAAAUGUGGGAAACUCGACUGCAUAAUUUGUGGUAGUGGGGGACUUAUCUUUAUUACCUUAA